rnacentral:rRNA from 1 species
UACAGAGGUCCCAAGCGUUGUUCGGAUUCACUGGGCGUAAAGGGUGCGUAGGCGGUCGGGUAAGUCUGACGUGAAAUCUCCAAGCUCAACUUGGAAAUGGCGUCGGAUACUAUUCGGCUGGAGGAAUGGAGGGGAGACUGGAAUUCUCGGUGUAGCAGUGAAAUGCGUAGAUAUCGAGAGGAACACCAGUGGCGAAUGCGAGUCUCUGGACAUUUCCUGACGCUGAGGCACGAAAGCCAGGGGAGCAAACGGG